rnacentral:rRNA from 1 species
GGGUGCGAUCAUACAGCACUAAUGCACCGGAUCCAUCAUAACUCCGAAGUUAAACGUGCUUGGGCGAGAGUAGUACUAAGAUGGGUGACCUC